GUGCACCAGUCGCGAAACCUUCGCAAUGCGGGAAACCGCGACGAGGGGACUCCCAGUGCCUACGCUCAGCGUAGGCUGUUCCCGAGCCUAGAAAGCUCGGGGAGUGAGGGCUGGGUAAGACGGGUGCCAGCCGCCGCGGUAAUACCCGCAGCCCGAGUGGUGGCCACUAUUAUUGGGCCUAAAGCGUCCGUAGCCGGCCCGGUAAAUGCCUGGGUAAAUCGUGAGGCCUAACCUCACGAAUUCCGGGUAGACUGCCGGGCUAGGGACCGGAGGAGGGAGAGGGUACUCCAGGGGUAGGGGUGAAAUCCUGUAAUCCCUGGAGGACCACCGGUGGCGAAGGCGCUCUCCUAGGACGGGUCCGACGGUGAGGGACGAAAGCCAGGGGAGCGAACCGGAUUAGAUACUC
rnacentral:rRNA from 1 species